rnacentral:rRNA from 1 species
GAUGAACGCUAGCGGCAGGCCUAAUACAUGCAAGUCGAACGAUAGUGAGAAGCUUGCUUCUCACGAAAGUGGCGCACGGGUGCGUAACGCGUAUGCAACCUACCUUAAUCAGGGGGAUAGCCCGAAGAAAUUCGGAUUAACACCGCAUAAAAUCACAGUAUAGCAUUAUACAAUGAUCAAAUAUUUAUGGGAUUAAGAUGGGCAUGCGUGACAUUAGUUAGUUGGCGGGGUAACGGCCCACCAAGACCACGAUGUCUAGGGGAUCUGAGAGGAUGCCCCCCCACACUGGUACUGAGACACGGACCAGACUCCUACGGGAGGCAGCAGUAAGGAAUAUUGGUCAAUGGAGGCAACUCUGAACCAGCCAUGCCGCGUGCAGGAAGACAGCCCUCUGGGUCGUAAACUGCUUUUAUUCGGGAAUAAACCUAUCUACGUGUAGAUAGCUGAAUGUACCGAAGGAAUAAGGAUCGGCUAACUCCGUGCCAGCAGCCGCCGUAA